rnacentral:rRNA from 1 species
GGAGAGGGCUAGCGUUAUUCGGAAUUAUUGGGCGUAAAGGGCGCGUAGGCGGAUUAGUAAGUUAAAAGUGAAAUCCCAAGGCUCAACCUUGGAAUUGCUUUUAAAACUGCUAAUCUAGAGAUUGAAAGAGGAUAGAGGAAUUCCUAGUGUAGAGGUGAAAUUCGUAAAUAUUAGGAGGAACACCAGUGGCGAAGGCGUCUAUCUGGUUCAAAUCUGACGCUGAGGCGCGAAGGCGUGGGGAGCAAACAGGAUUAGAUACCCUGGUAGUCCACGCUGUAAACGAUGAAUGUUAAAUAUGGGGAGUUUACUUUCUGUAUUACAGCUAACGCGUUAAACAUUCCGCCCGGGGACUACGGUCGCAAGAUUAAAACUCAAAGGAAUUGACGGGGACCCGCACAAGCGGUGGAGCAUGUGGUUUAAUUCGAUGCAACGCGAAAAACCUUACCACUCCUUGACAUGGAAAUUAUACCUAUUCGAAGGGAUAGGGUCGGUUCGGCCGGGUUUCACACAGGUGU